GGCGCGAAACCUCCGCAAUGUGAGAAAUCGCGACGGGGGGAUCCCAAGUGCCAUUCUUAACGGGAUGGCUUUUCAUUAGUGUAAAGAGCUUUUGGAAUAAGAGCUGGGCAAGACCGGUGCCAGCCGCCGCGGUAACACCGGCAGCUCUAGUGGUAGCAGUUUUUAUUGGGCCUAAAGCGUCCGUAGCCGGUUUAAUAAGUCUCUGGUGAAAUCCUGCAGCUUAACUGUGGGAAUUGCUGGAGAUACUAUUAGACUUGAGAUCGGGAGAGGUUAGAGGUACUCCCAGGGUAGAGGUGAAAUUCUGUAAUCCUGGGAGGACCGCCUGUUGCGAAGGCGUCUGACUGGAACGAUUCUGACGGUGAGGGACGAAAGCUAGGGGCGCGAACCGGAUUAGAAACCCGAGUAGUCC
rnacentral:rRNA from 1 species